rnacentral:rRNA from 1 species
GACGAACGCUGGCGGCGUGCUUAACACAUGCAAGUCGAACGGAAAGACCCUGCUUUUGUUUGGUUCUCGAGUGGCGAACGGGUGAGUAACACGUGAGUAAACUGCCCUUGACUUUGUGAUAACUUCAGGAAACUGGGGCGAAUACAGGAUAUGAGCUCCUGCACCGUGUUGGGGAUUGGAGAAUGUCGGUGUUUGUGGAUGGACUCGCGGUGUAUUAGCUUGUUGGUGAGGUAGUGACUUACCAAGGCUACGAUGGAUAGCCGACCUGAGAGGGUGAUCGGCCGCACUGGAGCUGAGACACGGUCCAGACUCCUACGGGAGGCAGCAGUAGGGAAUCGUCCGCAAUGGGCGAGAGCCUGACGGAGCAACGCCGCGUGAGUGAUGAAGGUCUUCGGAUCGUAAAACUCUGUUAUUAGGGAAGAACAUAUGUGUAAGUAACUGUGCACAUCUUGACGGUACCUAAUCAGAAAGCCACGGCUAACUACGUG